UACAGAGGGUGCGAGCGUUAAUCGGAAUUACUGGGCGUAAAGCGUGCGUAGACGGCUAUCUAAGUCGGGUGUGAAAGCCCCGGGCUCAACCUGGGAAUUGCAUUCGAGACUGAAUAGCUAGGGUACGGUAGAGGGAAGCGGAAUUUCCAAUGUAGCGGUGAAAUGCGUAGAUAUCGGAAGGAACAUCAGUGGCGAAAGCGGCUUCCUGGACCAGUACCGACGUUCAGGCACGAAAGCGUGGGGAGCAAACAGG
rnacentral:rRNA from 1 species